UGGGGCAAGUAUGGACACAACAUUUAAGCUUGAUACAGCUCUGAAUUUGGAUUGUGAUUAAAUAGUUGACACAAUAUAUGUUUCUGACACAGAAUGAUAAUGGUCUAAGAACUUAAACUUAAAAACUUAAAAAUUUUAAAUUGGACAUUUACUUAUUAUGGUCCAAUAUCCAAAAUCUAAAUACAUGGUUAGAUUCAGCAUAUC
rnacentral:lncRNA from 1 species